AUACUUUCCAAGACCGUUGUCUGCUACAG
rnacentral:piRNA from 1 species